rnacentral:rRNA from 1 species
CCUACGGGCUGCACCAGUGGGGAACAUUGGACAAUGGGCGCAAGCCUGAUCCAGCCAUGCCGCGUGAGUGAAGAAGGCCUUAGGGUUGUAAAGCUCUUUCACCGGUGAAGAUAAUGACGGUAACCGGAGAAGAAGCCCCGGCUAACUUCGUGCCAGCAGCCGCGGUAAUACGAAGGGGGCUAGCGUUGUUCGGAAUUACUGGGCGUAAAGCGCGCGUAGGCGGAUAGAAAGUCAGAGGUGAAAUCCCGGGGCUCAACCCCGGAAUUGCCUUUGAUACUGUUUAUCUUGAGUGCAGAAGAGGUAAGUGGAAUUCCGAGUGUAGAGGUGAAAUUCGUAGAUAUUCGGAGGAACACCAGUGGCGAAGGCGGCCCCCUGGACGAAGACUGACGCUCAGGUGCGAAAGCGUGGGGAGCAAACAGGAUUAGAUACCCUCGUAGUC